CCUAUAAGACUGGGAUAACUUCGGGAAACCGGAGCUAAUGCCGGAUAACAUAUAGAACCGCAUGGUUCUAUAGUGAAAGAUGGUUUUGCUAUCACUUAUAGAUGGACCCGCGCCGUAUUAGCUAGUUGGUAAGGUAAUGGCUUACCAAGGCGACGAUACGUAGCCGACCUGAGAGGGUGAUCGGCCACACUGGAACUGAGACACGAUCCAGACUCCUACGGGAGGCAGCAGUAGGGAAUCUUCCGCAAUGGGCGAAAGCCUGACGGAGCAACGCCGCGUGAGUGAUGAAGGUUUUCGGAUCGUAAAACUCUGUUAUUAGGGAAGAACAAAUGCGUAAGUAACUGUGCGCAUCUUGACGGUACCUAAUCAGAAAGCCACGGCUAACUACGUGCCAGCAGCCGCGGUAAUACGUAGGUGGCAAGCGUUAUCCGGAAUUAUUGGGCGUAAAGCGCGCGUAGGCGGUUUCUUAAGUCUGAUGUGAAAGCCCACGGCUCAACCGUGGAGGGUCAUUGGAAACUGGGAAACUUGAGUGCAGAAGAGGAAAGUGGAAUUCCAUGUGUAGCGGUGAAAUGCGCAGAGAUAUGGAGGAACACCAGUGGCGAAGGCGACUUUCUGGUCUGUAACUGACGCUGAUGUGCGAAAGCGUGGGGAUCAAACAGGAUUAGAUACCCUGGUAGUCCACGCCGUAAACGAUGAGUGCUAAGUGUUAGGGGGUUUCCGCCCCUUAGUGCUGCAGCUAACGCAUUAAGCACUCCGCCUGGGGAGUACGACCGCAAGGUUGAAACUCAAA
rnacentral:rRNA from 1 species